UUGUCUACUGCACCUUUAUAUACCAGAAUUUUUCAUGCAUUGAAGCUUGCGUAAGGAAAAUGAAGACUAUGGCGCUUUGUAGUUUUGCAAUGUUCCUUUCUUCGUUGUUGGUUCAGGGCAACAUGAGAGUUAAACUCUUUAAGAAGCCUGGCUGCGAGGCACAACGUGAGCGGCAGUACCGGAGAGGCAUCUGCUUACAGGCCCGCGAGCUGGGAUGUGAAGUGGACCAAAUGAAAUGAGUUUCCCGAAUUGAAGACUUACUACGCUAACUCAAAGUUACAGCAAAAUGUUCUUCUUAAAUGAUGAAAUUGAGAUGUAGAUGUCUAUUUAUAUAACGCUAUCAUCACUAUUGUAUUUUAGUGAAAUUAACCUGUUUGACAUGAGUUGAAUAAAGGCUGUGAUCCACAUGA